UUCCAGGAAAGAACAAAUCCCCAUGUUUGUGGAAACUCACAGUCAUCACCCAGCCACAUCAAAAUUCAUCCACUUAAUUAGAGUUCAAACUCAACUAAGGGGAAAAAAGAGAAAAAAAAGCAAUGGCAUGCCUAUUAAAAAAAAAUUGGGCAUACAUUAUCUUUCAGCUUGUCCCUCAAUUUGGUCAAGACUAUCAAAUUACUAACUGAUUUAUCCAAUAAAAUACACGUGACAUAUGAAGAAUUUAAGAAAACAAUGGAAUCACAUGGGAAGGAUGUUUCUUAAUAACACCAAUUCAACAAAAUUUUGAAGGAUCCAACGAUCUCGACCAAUUACAACUGCUAAAUGUGUAAAAUGAAUUUUAGUGUUGCAAAAAUUCAGGCAUAGGCUUGGAUCAAGUGAUUACUAAUAGACAAUGACCAAUAUUAGAUGCAAUAGCUUGCUAAGCCUGAAAUAUUAAUCCAUCUUGGAGCUGCUUAUGGCCCAGCUCGGCAACAGCUCUUAAGGUGGCGUUUAGUGUUUUGACCCUAGUAUUCGGUAGCAUAGUGUUUACACUUGUGUUUAGUAUUUAGAGUUUGAGAGAAUGGUUCAUGAAAUAUUACCUCUCCUAACUUUUAGACAUUGAGAGAGUGUUUUGAUUAGGGUAAAAAAAGUAAUACUACUAUUUUUAUUUUUAUAUUUAACAGCUAAUCUAAUAACUAUUUUUAUCGAAUACUUUUAUUUUAAAUCACUGUAUAAACAGUUAACAAUUAAUAGCUGAUAGCUAUUAGAAUACCUAACAGCUACUAGAACAACAAAUAGCUAUUAGAACAAUUAAUAUUAUCGAACAGACCCUAUAUCAAUA
rnacentral:misc_RNA from 1 species